rnacentral:lncRNA from 1 species
ACUGAGAACAUCAAAGUUGAGUCCUUAUAAUGUUAUUUCAUUGGAUUGGCCUCAAAAUAUCCUGUUUUCUAUCUAUUCUCUCUCUCUCUCUCUCUCUCUCUCUCUCUCUCUCUCUCUCUCUCUCUCUCCUAUCUAUAUGUCUAUCUGUGCAAGUAAGAAUGUGUAUGUGCACGUGUGUACACUGGUAUUUGUGAAUAUCUGUGCCUACUGAGGUCAGAGGACCACUCCUCAAGCUCCCCACCCACACCCACACACAUUGUAAAUUGUUUUGUUUGGAGACAAUGUCAAACUAUGUAGCCCUGGCUGACCCAGAACCUGCUAUGUAGACAAGGAUACCCUAUAAUUUAUAUACAUCCAUUGCUCUGCCUCCAGAACACUAGGAUUAAGGGCAUGUGCCAUGAUACAGCUUGUUUAUUUAAACUUUUAGAAGUUUACCUUGCUCUAGAGACAGGAUUUCUUGCUGGCAUGGAGUUUUUCUAUAAACAAUUUUGGUUGGGUUGGGACUCCCAGGAUCCAAUUCUUUCUUCAGUACUGAUGUUAUAAGCAAUCACACCUUGGGAGUAGAACUCAUAUCCUUAUAUUUGUAAACGAAAUGCGUUACUGACUUAAUUAUUCUUCAAGCUCCUUGUUCAGCUUCUUCAUAGGUACAAUGUACAUUUCUAUUGUUUGAGAAUGUCUAAUUCUACUGUAUAAUGAGAGCAAAUAGGGGUUGGCAAGACUCAAGUAUGAGUAAGUAGAGUGCUUAUUAGACAUGAAUAGCAAAGGGAUAGAGAAAUAAAUAAUACUUAUGGCACAAGAAUUACACAUGAGGAAGGCAAACACAAACUAUUCAUGAACACAAAAUAUAGAGGUAAGAAUGCUACUCAGGUCACAUUAUAUGCACACACACACACAAACACACACACACACACACACACACACACACACACACACACACACACGUGCACAUGCCCAGUGGGUUGUGUGUGUGUGUGUGUGUGUGUGUGUGUGUGUGCUGUCUUAAUUAAUGGCAUCACACUUGCCACAAAUAAUUAUUAUGAACUGGUGAACUACAGGUGGUGUCAGCCACAGUUGUCAUAAGUGAGUCAUGGUCAUGCCUUUAAAUCUCACCUUAAUGUCUGUUAGUCACAGGCUGAAAUGGUUAGGUGGUUGACCCAUCAGGGAAAGGGACAGAAUACAUGAACACUGUGUAUCAAGAUUGAAGUUCCUUUCUAAUGUGUUUCAUCUCUUUCCUCUUGCUUCUUACUGUUUAAAUUGUCCUCAUGAACUAUGUGAUUUGAACAUUUUAAUUUGGUUGUUUCUGGUUCAUCCCUAAAACAGUGUUUGCUUUCUGUUUCUGCUGUUAAAAUGGUCACAAACUGUAUCUUAAAACAACAUGAAUUACCAAUCUUAUAAAUGUCAGAAAUUCUAAAUAUGUUUCUCUGGGUUAAAGUCAAAGUGUCAGCAAGGCUAUAUUUCUUCCUGGGAGAUUUAGAGGCAAUUCUGAUCUUUACCUUUCUAAAGUAGCUUCUAAAUUCUUUUUCCAUCUCUUAUCUAGGUGUCCCUUCCAUUGUUCAUGUGAUUAAUGGAAGACCAAGUCUCUCUCACAAUGUUCUCUCACUUUGGUUCUGACCUUUCUUCUUCUUCCCCAUCUGAGAAUUCUCUUGGCUUCACUGUGCCAACUUAACCAAGAAAAUAUAAUCACUUACAAACCUAAUUGAGUUUCUAAGUUGAUUCUUUCUUGCCAAGUAAAACACCAGAUAAACAUGGAAUUGAAAUGAACAUUUUUGGGAGGUCAUGGUUUUGUUAUGUAUAGCCUCUAGCAUGGAACACCAAAGCUCCCACUACAUUGGGGAGAAUUUUCAUAUUGUUAUUGUCCAUUUACUUCUUGCUCUAUCAUAUAUUCAGCAUUGAUUUGCGAACACACUGUGGGGCCAAGGAAUGCUCCUUUGAAGCUCUUUCUCUUUCAAUUUCACAGAACUGAAAUCUUACAUCUUUCCCUUUCUGUUUCCUUUUAUACCAAAGGAAGUCCCCGAACUCAGGUGUAGUUUUGAAUCACCAUUCCAAAUAAAAUUUACCAAUUCAAGAUUAGAAUUGACCAUCCACUCUGGUUUACUGAAUAUAUAAAUAUAAACAAGUAUUUCUUUCUCCACAGAAAGCAGAUACUUAAGGCUAAUGCCAAGCUAAUCCUGAGCAAAGCCUAGUAUUAUACUCUACUCAAUCUUUGUGCUAAUCCAAUCAAGAGCUCUGAAAAUGUCUUGGAAUUUUGCCAUGGGGAUCAGGAUGAUCAAAUUAUUGGGUGUGGCAGCAGUCCCAAGAUGGCGCCCAGAACUGUAGCCAAGUUUUAUGACUUUCACCUUCUUCCUCAUACACCUGAAAAUAAGCCACAUCCAUCGUGAGAACUGCACAAGUGCACCAUGAUGCAAGAUUGGACCAUAUGACGAGUGAUGAUUCUGGCCAAUGGACUGCUGUUACAUGGACUGGGCUGAUGGGGCAUGGUUGAGAGGAUAUAUAAGGAAUUGCGAUUGGGGUCGGGUUGGUUGGUGUUGUUUUUUCCUGGAGAGAUUGAUUUCUGGAGAGAGAUUCAUGCAUGAUGUUGAAAGGUUCCAGAAUAAACUGCUUUGAGAAGAACGUAGUGUUGUUGCUCUUUUCUGCUGGUCAGAACAGGAAGCGACAGUAUAUUAACGAUUGCUCACUCGUUUUGUCUGUGAUUAUGUUAAAAUGUCAGAGAACAUUUAUAUCUAUGUUAUUGUUGAGUUUAGGAAGGCUGAGGAUUUUAUUUUAUUUUAUUUUAUUUUAUUUUAUUUUAUUUUAUUUUAUUUUUUUCCUUUCUUUGAGAACGUGUCUCUUGUAGCAGAGACUGGCCUCAAAUUGCUAUGAAGCUGAAGCUGAACUUCUUGAACCCUGAUCCUCCUGCCUCUACACCUCAGGAGCAGACAUUGUAGGUGUGUGUCACCACAGAUGGCUU